rnacentral:rRNA from 1 species
UACGAAGGGGGCUAGCGUUGCUCGGAAUUACUGGGCGUAAAGCGCACGUAGGCGGCUCUUUAAGUCGGGGGUGAAAUCCUGGAGCUCAACUCCAGAACUGCCUUCGAUACUGAAGAGCUCGAGUCCGGGAGAGGUGAGUGGAACUGCGAGUGUAGAGGUGAAAUUCGUAGAGAUCGGGGGGAAGGCCGGUGGCGAAGGCGGCGCUCUGGAACGUUACUGACGCUGAGACACGAAAGCGUGGGGAGCAAACAGG